GACGAACGCUGGCGGCGUGCCUAAUACAUGCAAGUCGAGCGAAGUUUUUCUGGUGCUUGCACUAGAAAAACUUAAGCGGCGAACGGGUGAGUAACACGUAAAGAACCUGCCUCAUAGACUGGGGACAACUAUUGGAAACGAUAGCUAAUACCGGAUAACAGUAUUUCUCGCCUGAGAGAUAUUUAAAAGUUUGGUUAUGCUAACACUAUGAGAUGGCUUUGCGGUGAUUAGCUAGUUGGUGGGGUAAAAGGGCCUAACCAAAGGCGACGAUGCAUAGCCCGACCUUGAGAGGGUGAUUCGGCCACCACUGGGGACUGAGAACACGGCCCCAGACUCCUUACGGGAGGGCCAGCCAGUAGGGAAUUCUUUCCCGCCAUGGGCGAAAGCCUGAC
rnacentral:rRNA from 1 species